rnacentral:rRNA from 1 species
AAUAGAUACCCUGGUAGUCCACGCCGUAAACGAGGAGUGCUAAGUGUUGGAGGGUUUCCGCCCUUCAGUGCUGCAGCUAACGCAUUAAGCACUCCGCCUGGGGAGUACGGUCGCAAGACUGAAACUCAAAGGAAUUGACGGGGGCCCGCACAAGCGGUGGAGCAUGUGGUUUAAUUCGAAGCAACGCGAAGAACCUUACCAGGUCUUGACAUCUCCUGACCGCCCUGGAGACAGGGUCUUCCCUUCGGGGACAGGAUGACAGGUGGUGCAUGGUUGUCGUCAGCUCGUGUCGUGAGAUGUUGGGUUAAGUCCCGCAACGAGCGCAACCCUUGGUUCUAGUUGCCAGCAUUCAGUUGGGCACUCUAGAGCGACUGCCGGCGACAAGUCGGAGGAAGGUGGGGAUGACGUCAAAUCAUCAUGCCCCUUAUGACCUGGGCUACACACGUGCUACAAUGGAUGGUACAAAGGGCAGCGAAGCCGCGAGGCGGAGCGAAUCCCAGAAAACCAUUCUCAGUUCGGAUUGCA